rnacentral:misc_RNA from 1 species
AACGAGGCCGACCUGCGGCUGAGUUACCUGCGGAAGGAUCAUUACAAGAAGGGGUGCUGACGGCUCUCUCGGGCGCCGUCAGUCCGCUCUCUACCUUGCCUACUGCACCGUUUGUUGCUUCCUGGCGGCGGCCUCUUGCCGCCAGGAACCCAAUCAAAUCCUGUAUAAGCAUUGAGAAACUGAACAACACCUAAAUCGUACAACUUUCAACAACGGAUCU